rnacentral:lncRNA from 1 species
CUGGGCUUUGCUCCACUUGGAGUCAGCUGAUUGGCGGGAGGGCAUCUGAAAUUGAGAGGAGGUUUCAGGACGUUUACCCAGCCCUUUAGUGGGGAUCUGUCUGGGACUGUGCAGUCUGAAUCUGCAACUGUAAAAGGCAUGGUCCCUGGAAACAACCCUGGUGCUGUCCAGCAGCGUGUUGAACAGGAAGUUGUGUGUGGGAAUACAAGGUUCCAUAAAAUUCCUGAUGGAGAACGUGGAGUGAAAAGAAAUUAUCACAGAAUUCCAACAGGGCUUGACGGCAGAAUUAUCUUUAGAAAACUAAGCCUGUAUUAAUAAAAAAUCAUAAUAUGAAAAUAUAACUUACAUUUCUUGUCACUAACAUUCCUCAAUCUUGGUCUUUGGCAUCCAGAAACUUUGUCUGCCAAAAUAUGUUCAGUGGGAACCCGUAGAUAUGUUCCUAAAUGAUAUCUGAAAAUGGGCCUUUCUGGGGUAU